rnacentral:rRNA from 1 species
UAAAUAGGAUCCCUCAGUAUGGCGANGACCNGGGAUGAGCUCAGUAUGGAAAUUGGGGCCUGUGGCCUUGAAUUGUAGUCUGGAGAUGUACUACCAACUGGGGCGCAGAUGUAAGCCUCUUGGAAAAGAGCAUCAAUGAGGGUGAGAGUCCCGCUUGGCAUCUGCAGUCCCCAGUGCACGGUGUACCUUCUAAGAGUCACGUUCCUCGGGAUUGGAGCGCAAAUUGGGUGGUAAAUUUCAUCUAAAGCUAAAUAUUGUUUCGAGACCGAUAGCAAACAAGUACCAUGAGGGAAAGGUGAAAAGGACUUUGAAAAGAGAGUUAAAAGUGCCUGAAAUUGCUGAAAGGGAAGCGAAUGGAACCAGCGUAACUUGGUGAGAUUGCUGCGUAUCAAUGUGAUUGCUUGCUGCUUCAACGUAAGUGUGGUAGUAAGUCUUGAACAGGACAUGCGUGGUGUUUCUUGCCUUGUGUGUCACUGCCAGUUCACAGCUGGGGAAAACUUCAGGGGCAUGGUAGCUUGUCUCCGGAUGGGUGAACGUGUCUGCUGGAACUCAUUUGUGGACUGAUUGGUGACUAAAUGGUUCCAUCUGACCCGUCUUGAAACACGGACCAAGGAGUCUAACAUAUGUGCAAGUUCACGGGUGUUAAACCUGCUUGCGUAAUGAAAGUGACUGCUGGGAUCUUUGCACCAGCAACCGACCAAUCAAUUGAGAGAGGUUUGAGUAUGAGCAUAUCUGUUAGGACCCGAAAGAUGGUGAACUAUGCCUGUGAAGGGCAAACUCAGGGGAAACUCUGAUGGAGGCUCGUAGCGGUACUGCNG